UUGAACAAGAUGGAGAAGCAGGGCACGUGCAAUACUAACUCAUGAAAACACACACACAUGGAAUUGAAUUGCUAAGAGAAUCCACAUUCUUUUUUUUUCAUUUCAUUUUGUAGUGAAUGAGUUAGUUCUUCAUGUGCCCCUCUUCCCCAUCAUGACAAC
rnacentral:pre_miRNA from 1 species